UACAGAGGGUGCAAGCGUUGCUCGGAAUCAUUGGGCGUAAAGGGCAAGAAGGUGGUCUCAUUUGUCUAGGGUGAAAUCCUUGAGCUUAACUCAAGAAGUGCCCUAGAAACGGUGGGACUAGAGUUCUGGAGAGGGUCGUGGAAUUCCCGGUGUAGCGGUGAAAUGCGUAGAGAUCGGGAGGAACACCAGAGGCGAAGGCGGCGACCUGGACAGAUACUGACACUCAACUGCGAAAGCGUGGGGAGCAAACAGG
rnacentral:rRNA from 1 species